UGUGUGAUGAAUGGAAGCAGAGUGAAGGCGUGGGUGAUGAUGAAUGUAGAAAUGAAGAAUGGUUAAGAGUGUGAAGAUUGAAGAAGCUCAAGUUAUAUAGAGAGCUAUCUUUUGUCUUGGAUGAUGAUGGUUGCUCGGAGUUGGAAGUGAAACUGCAGAUUAAAGGCCGAGACCGAAACUGUUACGAGGUCUGUUUGUCUUUUUCUUGUGGUUCAGAAUUGUGUAUGCUAAUAUAUGGAGCAGGCCUAUUUUAGUUCUGAAUUGUAGGAGCUGGAGAUUUUUGGACAGUAUGAAAUGGGUUUUUUUUCUUUAUGGUUUGGCAUAACUUGAAGAAGAAGGAAUAGCGGGGCAGCAUCAUGAAGGGCAAGGCAGAUUUGGAAUGAAUCGGGAUCACGAUGAAGAUGAAGUUACGAUGGAAUUUAGGGAGUAUUGUGUAAUUAUUUCUUGGCAAUUUUGAUGUAAUGUGAAAGAUGAAAUUUGUAAUGAGACCCUUUUUUAUGAACUCUUUGUUUGUAAUUGAAUGAACAUUGAUGGAGU